rnacentral:lncRNA from 1 species
CUUGAGAAGAAGCUUCCUCGGAGCAGCUGCUGCCCCUCCGGCCUGGGCCCAGCCCGCAUACGCCUGGAGGAGAGUCAUUCCUGAGCUCAGUGGGGAGAAGCUGAGGCUUCCGGUCACACCCAGCCUGGAACAGUGACUCCAAGCCACGUGCAGACGCUGAGCGAUGCCAAAUGAGGAUGUCUCUGGAUACAGACCACCUGGUUUACAGCCACCGGAAUGUCCUAAAGGCAGUGCCUCAUCCUUGAGAGAGGUGGGAAAGUUCAGUACCCAUUCAGUUAUCUGUAGGGGCCAUGGACGAAAGACUGAGGGCAAUUGCAGGGGUUCUCCGGCUUGGGGAAGAAGGAGGGACCACAAGGUCAGUCUAGACCCCACCUGGCAGCGGACGCCUCACUCGUGCUCCUCUGUGCUGUGCUGGUAUUUUGGCAGACAUUCAUUCGAGGUCAAUAAAAGUUAAAUAAAUGAAAUGGGGCUCUGCUAUGGAGACAUUUAAUCAUUUCAUUAAGCAU